UACGUAGGGGGGCAAGCGUUGUCCGGAUUCAUUGGGCGUAAAGAGCGUGUAGGCGGCCAGGUAGGUCUGGUGUGAAAACUCGAGGCUUAACCUCGAGAUGUCAUCGGAAACCAUCUGGCUAGAGUCCGGAAGAGGAGAGUGGAAUUCCUGGUGUAGCGGUGAAAUGCGCAGAUAUCAGGAAGAACACCAAUGGCGAAAGCAGCUCUCUGGGACGGUACUGACGCUGAGACGCGAAAGCGUGGGGAGCGAACAGG
rnacentral:rRNA from 1 species